rnacentral:rRNA from 1 species
CCUACGGGAGGCAGCAGUGGGGAAUUUUGGACAAUGGGCGCAAGCCUGAUCCAGCAAUGCCGCGUGAGUGAAGAAGGCCUUCGGGUUGUAAAGCUCUUUUGUCAGGGAAGAAACGGUGGAGGCUAAUAUCCUUUGCUAAUGACGGUACCUGAAGAAUAAGCACCGGCUAACUACGUGCCAGCAGCCGCGGUAAUACGUAGGGUGCAAGCGUUAAUCGGAAUUACUGGGCGUAAAGCGUGCGCAGGCGGUUUUGUAAGUUUGUCGUGAAAUCCCCGGGCUCAACCUGGGAAUGGCGAUGAAGACUGCAAGGCUAGAAUCUGGCAGAGGGGGGUAGAAUUCCACGUGUAGCAGUGAAAUGCGUAGAGAUGUGGAGGAACACCGAUGGCGAAGGCAGCCCCCUGGGUCAAGAUUGACGCUCAUGCACGAAAGCGUGGGGAGCAAACAGGAUUAGAUACCCUGGUAGUCCACGCCCUAAACGAUGUCUACUAGUUGUCGGGUUUUAAUUAACUUGGUAACGCAGCUAACGCGUGAAGUAGACCGCCUGGGGAUACGGUCGCAAGNUUAAAACCGUNAAGUAGUAGUCGACGNGNGAGAGACGACGACGACGACGACGGAGGAGG